AUCUUCAGGGCGGGGUGAAAGUCCCCACCGGCGGUACAGUCCGCGAGCUCCCAGGAGCAUGAACCGGUGCGAUUCCGGUACCGACAGUCACAGUCUGGAUGGAAGAAGAA
rnacentral:ncRNA from 1 species